rnacentral:rRNA from 1 species
GUCGAGCGGACCAGAACGAAGGGCAACCGGAGUUCUGGUUUAGCGGCGCACGGGUGAGUAACGCGUAGGUAAUCUACUCCGAAGACCGGGAUAACACCUCGAAAGGGGUGCUAAUACUGGAUACGCUCUUUCUUUCGACGGAGGGGAAGAGGAAAGGUGGCGUAAGGCGCAAGCCUGCUACCACUUCGGAAUGAGCCUGCGUCCUAUUAGCUAGUUGGUAGGGUAAUGGCCUACCAAGGCUAUGAUGGGUAGCUGGUCUGAGAGGACGGUCAGCCACACUGGGACUGAGACACGGCCCAGACUCCUACGGGAGGCAGCAGUAGGGAAUAUUGGGCAAUGGGCGAAAGCCUGACCCAGCGACGCCGCGUGGGCGAUUAAGGUCUUUGGAUUGUAAAGCCCUUUUCAGGGAGACGAAGGGAUCGUCGGGAAAUACCUGAUGAUCUUUGACGGUAUCCCUGGAAUAAGCCCCGGCUAACUACGUGCCAGCAGCCGCGGUAAUACGUAGGGGCCGAGCGUUGUCCGGAAUUACUGGGUGUAAAGGGCGUGUAGGCGACCCCUUAAGUUGAAUGUGAAAUCUCCCGGCUCAACUGGGAGGAGUCAUUCAAUACUGAGGGGAUGUGAGGACAGAAGAGGGAAGUGGAAUUCCCGGUGUAGCGGUAAAAUGCGUAGAUAUCGGGAGGAACACCAGUGGCGAAGGCGGCUUCCUGGUCUGUCCCUGACGCUGAUGCGCGGAAGCCAGGGGAGCAAACGGGAUUAGAUACCCCGGUAGUCCUGGCCCUA